UAGAGGUAGCUUAUGUGGGUACUACCUUGGGCCCAUGUAGGCAGCCUAUAUGAGACUGAUUGUGUUUGCCCAUGUUUUACCCAUAUGGUUUGACCAAGAGGGCCCCAUAUGUGUUUCCCCAUUUAGAACCCAUAUAGAGGUAGCUUAUGUGGGUACUACCUUGGGCCCAUGCAGGCAGCCUAUAUGGGACUGAUUGUGUUUGCCCAUGUUUUACCCAUAUGGUUUGACCAAGAGGGCCCCAUAUGUGUUUCCCCAUUUAGAACCCAUAUAGAGGUAGCUUAUGUGGGUACUACCUUGGGCCCAUGUAGGCAGCCUAUAUGAGACUGAUUGUGUUUGCCCAUGUUUUACCCAUAUGGUUUGACCAAGAGGGCCCCAUAUGUGUUUCCCCAUUUAGAACCCAUAUAGAGGUAGCUUAUGUGGGUACUACCUUGGGCCAGUGUAGGCAGCCUAUAUGGGAUUAAUUGUGUUUGCCCAUGUCUAACCCAUUUGUUAAACCCAUAUGGGCCCCAUUUGUGUUGCCCAUUUCGAGCCCAAGCACUCAUUUCCCAUUUGUGACCCAACUAGGUCCCACAUAGGGAGCCCAUCUGUUUUUGCCCAU